CUCAAGCUUCUUUGCAAGUGAAAAGUAGCGUCUGGCAAUAGGAAUCCAAAAGGCAUGCUCUCUAAUCUCAGGUUCUCCAUCAGCGUAAAAUAUCUCUUCAGGUUGAUACCACACUCUGUUGAGAUAAUUGUCUGAAGAUUUCUCACCUUCUUUGCGAACUUGAUAAUCGGCAAACCUCAGAUAACCGUAUUUUCUAGUGUAGUCUCCAUUGGAUUCAAAUGCAAGUUCAUCUUCGGGUCCAUCUCCAAACCUCUGGUCAUAAAAAUGUGCAAGGAUUUAAUCAAAGUCAUUUAAGGGAAAAUAAUUCACUGCAUGUGAAAAUGAUCUACGUGCUUUUCCCAGCUUUUUUUUUUUAAACAGUUUUCGUAACACCUAAAUUGAUGGGUUUUACGCGUUACUGAAUGGUAAAGUUUACGUAAUGAGAUAACUAUUAGAGAUCAUUGUGGAUUGAGCAAAUACAUAAUUAUGGUUACCUGCCAAUUCCAGAGGCCAGUAUGAGCCCAAUACUCUGGGAUUGUAACAUCUCCUAUUUGAAUUUCAGGAUUUGCACCUCCCGCUGAUCCCAAAUGAAGUACUCCAUGGAUCCUGAAUACACUUAGCAGCAGCUGUGUUGCUACUCCUGAAUUCAGCUGUAAAAUAAUAAUUUAAAUUAAUUACGUUGUUACCCAUAAAAACCUAAAGGAAUAAAUAAAUCAUUGUAUUUUCAUUACCAUGCUGAGUCCGGAC
rnacentral:lncRNA from 1 species